CCGGUUCUGAGGGAAUACUGAUGCUGAUUGUAUCGGACGUUUUCUGCCAAGAAAGUCCAAGUAAGCUGGAUUCCUCUCCUUGCGCAGUACCAAGUUGUCGUUUGGCAUACGUAACAUCCUCAACGGAACUCAUAACUGGCUCUUCUAACGCUGGCUCGUUGGAAUGCCACUUGUGUAAGGUGAACGUUGCGUCUUGGAAUAUCUCGG